rnacentral:rRNA from 1 species
UACGGAGGGUGCAAGCGUUAUCCGGAUUCACUGGGUUUAAAGGGUGCGUAGGUGGGCUUGUAAGUCAGUGGUGAAAUCUCCGUGCUUAACAUGGAAACUGCCAUUGAUACUAUAGGUCUUGAAUUUUCUGGAGGAUAGCGGAAUAUGUCAUGUAGCGGUGAAAUGCUUAGAUAUGACAUAGAACACCAAUUGCGAAGGCAGCUGGCUACACGAGCAUUGACACUCAGGCACGAAAGCGUGGGGAUCAAACAGG